UUUUAAAUUGAAGUUGUGCAAAAAUUCCAAAAUUCCCAAGCUUAAAUUCCCUUGAAAAUUUCCUGGGAAUGUUCCGACCCUUUCGAAACCUUUCCCAGCCACAUGCCAGCGAAUCAGAGUAUAUACACUCUCACUGACAAGAGACCCAGAUAAUCCAGAGAGAAUUACACAGUUGUCCCAUGCAGCACCUGUCUACUCCGGUGUUGUCUUUGCCUCCUCCUCUGCAGUGAUUUACCCCGUAGCAGGAGGAGGCAGCCAGAACAAGUGCUUUCCUCUGUUUUACUCCUCUUGACACAGUUGGAGUUCGUCUGUAUCGGUAUAUAUUUUUUCCCCCUUUCUUGAUCAAAACACAUCCUGUCAUUUGUCAUUACUUAUUACAUGUAUGACAAUUAGAAAAUUAAACAUAAGAUGACAGAAACAGAUAAACCAUAACUUUGUAUUUGAUGUAUUUAAAAGGUCAGAUUUUUUUUUUCCUCCCCUAAAGAUAUUCCUAUUUAGGCAUACACAAUCUUACAUUACAUAUUCAUUUCAUCAACUAGUUUAAGUCAACAUAAGUGUUUCUCCAUAUUGCUUUUUCAAUACAACACCACGGUCAUUUGCUGACCCAGCUGCUCUGAACAUGGAUAUUGGACUCCCCAUUGUACGCCGAGAUUCAGAGCUGCCUUUUGCAAUGAAUACCAAUACUGGGUAGGCAUUCAGCUGUGAAUUACUAUCCUGGCACCCGGAGUAAUCAGCCUAAAUCAAUGCUGUUGUGACAGGUUUGACUGUAAGUAGCCCAGCCUUGCCUAGCCGUUAUGUGUGAUUGGACGCCCAGUGCUCCCAGUCCAGCAAUGCUCUUACAUAAUGCUGGAACAUUUAGCACACAAGUGCACUGUAACCCUCUACGGGCUUAAUACUUAAAGUCACACAGUGAGCUGUAUCCACACGCACACUGACAUAAACACAGGUGUACAUAUUUAGUGCAGCUACUCUGCAUUGAGGCUCAGUGUUAACAAGCUGUACGGACACACUAAAAUACACCAUCCAGACUUGGACUGGCUAAAGCUGAAAGUAGCAGCAUGGGUCGCAUUUCAUGCUGCCAGGGUGCCACUGAGCAAGUGAUGUCAUCGCUGGUGCGUUCGUCACAUCCUCCCGCCCCCGUGGCUCCUCGUAGCCAACCAGCAGCCAGCUCUGCAGGAACAGGAAGAGCCAUCUGGACCUGUUGGUUCUCUCCUGGUAGGGGUGGUGUUGUGGUGGGGACGAUGUCUAUGUCUCUCUCUGUAUAUUCUUCAUUUCUGUCUGUCUUUGGCAUAUUUUGUUUGUCUGCGGAUAUGCAUUCGUGCCUCUUCUUCUUCUUUGGGUGUAAGCUAUAAGUACUAACUUGUAGUAUAGGGAUUUCAUCUCCAUGGGCUAUUAUUUCCUUGUGUCCUCCAUAGUGCAUCCUUCCUUUUACUCUAGUAUUAAUCCCUGAUUUAACAUACCAUAAGUAGAUUAGUGCAAAUUCUGUGGAUGAGCUCGCCUUGCUCAGAAACCACAUCCUAAAAAAACACACUCAUGCCUGGCACGAAGGUUUGGAGUAUGUCUUUGUCAUGCUCCCUUCCACCAUGCCUGAUAUUUUUAUAACUGAGAAACCAAAAUGACAGCUUCUUGUUACUUUCAGCAGUAUGUACACAGGAGUAUGUCGGGGGAUGUGUGAUUAUUGUUAUUCUGCACGAUUUGUAAGGAGGGGAGACCUUGUACCGGCAAUUUAUUUUCUCUCCGACCUUGUAGUGAAUCAACCAUAGAAAUAAAACAGGAGUAGAAUGGAUAUUGAACUGUUUUCCGUGGUCAUUUGAGUAGUACAAAAGAAAAUGUUGAUAGUUGUUAUGGUGACAACACAUGUCAGACAGUGUGGUCGCAGCUCGCCGGGAAGAAAGCGGACGCAGCUCCUAGAGACUGAUGGCUGGCUAGUUAGCUAGGUAGCUUCUCUGGAGCGGUGGGGAGUGAAACGGAGGGGCCGUAGACCCAGCACUGCCGCUGUCCACCAGCCAGCUGUUCGGCUCACUUUCUGAAACCAAUAUAGCUUUAAAGCAUGGCGAAAUUAUGGGCCGUACACAUGCCACGUCUAAAAAUGCGUGGAAUCCAAUGUGCUUACUAAGCAACCAAAACCUGCGGAAAGGGUGACGCAAGUAAAAUAGUCUGUGGGACAGAUCAUAAGGCUCUGGGUAGCCCUGCACUAAAAUUAUUAACUUCUCCUCCAUAUAUUUACCGUAGACUGAUAUUUACGAAA